AUGACACAUUCUCCGGAAUCUCUGUACUGCCUCUGAUGAAAGUAUAAUUGAACCCUUUUCCAUCUGAUGA
rnacentral:snoRNA from 13 species